rnacentral:rRNA from 1 species
UACGAAUAAGGAUCGGCUAACUCCGUGCCAGCAGCCGCGGUAAUACGGAGGAUCCAAGCGUUAUCCGGAUUUAUUGGGUUUAAAGGGUGCGUAGGCGGGAAAGGAAGUCAGUUGUGAAAUUUUAUGGCUCAACCAUAAACUUGCAGUUGAAACUCUUUUUCUUGAGUACACAUGAGGUGGGCGGAAUUUGUGGUGUAGCGGUGAAAUGCAUAGAUAUCACAAGGAACUCCAAUUGCGAAGGCAGCUCACUGGGGUGUAACUGACGCUAAUGCACGAAGGUGUGGGUAUCAAACAGGAUUAGAUACCCUGGUAGUCCACACAGUAAACUAUGAAUACUCGCUGUUUGCGAUACACAGUAAGCGGCUAAGCGAAAGCAUUAAGUAUUCCACCUGGGGAGUACGUCGGCAACGAUGAAACUCAAAGGAAUUGACGGGGGCCCGCACAAGCGGAGGAACAUGUGGUUUAAUUCGAUGAUACGCGAGGAACCUUACCCGGGCUUGAAUUGCAACUGAUAGCUUUUGAAAGAGAGUUUUUCUUCGGAACAGUUGUGAAGGUGCUGCAUGGUUGUCGUCAGCUCGUGCCGUGAGGUGUCGGCUUAAGUGCCAUAACGAGCGCAACCCUUAUUGCUAGUUGCUAACAGAUUAUGCUGAGGACUCUAGUGAGACUGCCGUCGUAAGAUGUGAGGAAGGAGGGGAUGACGUCAAAUCAGCACGGCCCUUAUGUCCAGGGCGACACACGUGUUACAAUGGGAGGAUCAACGGGCAGCUACCUAGCGAUAGGAUGCUAAUCUCUAAACCCUCUCUCAGUUCGGAUUGAAGUCUGCAAUUCGACUUCAUGAAGCUGGAUUCGCUAGUAAUCGCGCAUCAGCCACGGCGCGGUGAAUACGUUCC